UUUUUUUUAUGCCAGGCUUUCAAAGACUUGUUUUGAGUAUAUUUUUAUUGAAUGUGACGAACAUAACCACAAUGUGGAAGUGACAGAUUUGGAAGGCGACUCCUAAUCCUAUUUCCUAUAGAUUAUAUAAAUGCAGGUUUUUUUCAAUUAAGAUAUCUUGAGAAAAACUUGAAAGCUGCAGUUACCUCUGGAGAUAAGAUGAAUUUGAGGGGAAAUCGAUAAAAUGGAGCAGAUGAAAUGUCUAAGAUUAGCUUAAGAAAAACUUGCAGCAGUUAUUUUUGGCGAUUAGAUGAAUUUGAGGGUAAAUCGAUAAAAUGGAGCAGAUGAAAUGACUAAGAUUAGAUGCAUUUUAGGAAAAAUUGAUAAAAAGGAAUAGAUUACAUGACUAAGGAGAAAUGGAUGAUUAGUUUCUACUUUCUACUUCCAACCAGUUUUAUUCAACCUGGAUUACCCUACCAACUUCUUGAAUUCUUCUACACACUCGGCAACCUCUGAGAGGGUGUUGUUCAUGUCCAUAUUCUUCUCCUCCACCUGCAAAUAAAUAUACAAUAUAAAGAAAAGUGCAAUAAAAAAUAAACAAAUGCAAGGUUAUGUAGAAAUUUUUACACUAAACUAUGCUUGAUGUCCACAACGUAAAGAUGAAAAAAUUCUUUCAAAUGUCACUUGACUGAAGUUAUAAGUAUAUAUGUAUUGUAGAGAGCACUUACUGCAUUCAGCAUUAUCUUGUAGUUUUCUUUCACCAUGGCAUUUAUGUUGCUGAUUUUUUCCUUGGAGUGUUUUAUUUGCAUUUCCAGUUCAGCAAUAGUGUCUAUCCCGUCACUGUAUGCAAUGUCAUCUUCAGUAAGUUUCCGGUGCAAAUCUUCCAGCACCCUGAAACAUGUACAACUUUCUAACCAUAUUUCUCUAACCUUACGAAAGAAAUCAAUUGUACAACAUACAGCCAAAGGGGGAAGAGUGGUGUGCCUUGUCUUGGCUCCUCUUACAGCCUUGGUACAUGUAUAAUGUUUGACAAGACAUUAUUGUAUAUAAAAUGUACCCAGAAUGA